GGCCGUGUAGCUCAGUGGUAGAGCGCCCGCCUGUCGAGCGGGAGGACGCGGGUUCGAAUCCCGUCAUGGUCGCCC
rnacentral:tRNA from 1 species